rnacentral:rRNA from 1 species
AUGCAAGUCGAGCGGUAGCACAGAGAGCUUGCUCUCGGGUGACGAGCGGCGGACGGGUGAGUAAUGUCUGGGAAACUGCCUGAUGGAGGGGGAUAACUACUGGAAACGGUAGCUAAUACCGCAUAACGUCGCAAGACCAAAGUGGGGGACCUUCGGGCCUCAUGCCAUCAGAUGUGCCCAGAUGGGAUUAGCUAGUAGGUGGGGUAAUGGCUCACCUAGGCGACGAUCCCUAGCUGGUCUGAGAGGAUGACCAGCCACACUGGAACUGAGACACGGUCCAGACUCCUACGGGAGGCAGCAGUGGGGAAUAUUGCACAAUGGGCGCAAGCCUGAUGCAGCCAUGCCGCGUGUAUGAAGAAGGCCUUCGGGUUGUAAAGUACUUUCAGCGAGGAGGAAGGCGUUAAGGUUAAUAACCUUAGCGAUUGACGUUACUCGCAGAAGAAGCACCGGCUAACUCCGUGCCAGCAGCCGCGGUAAUACGGAGGGUGCAAGCGUUAAUCGGAAUUACUGGGCGUAAAGCGCACGCAGGCGGUCUGUCAAGUCGGAUGUGAAAUCCCCGGGCUCAACCUGGGAACUGCAUUCGAAACUGGCAGGCUAGAGUCUUGUAGAGGGGGGUAGAAUUCCAGGUGUAGCGGUGAAAUGCGUAGAGAUCUGGAGGAAUACCGGUGGCGAAGGCGGCCCCCUGGACAAAGACUGACGCUCAGGUGCGAAAGCGUGGGGAGCAAACAGGAUUAGAUACCCUGGUAGUCCACGCCGUAAACGAUGUCGACUUGGAGGUUGUGCCCUUGAGGCGUGGCUUCCGGAGCUAACGCGUUAAGUCGACCGCCUGGGGAGUACGGCCGCAAGGUUAAAACUCAAAUGAAUUGACGGGGGCCCGCACAAGCGGUGGAGCAUGUGGUUUAAUUCGAUGCAACGCGAAGAACCUUACCUACUCUUGACAUCCAGAGAACUUAGCAGAGAUGCUUUGGUGCCUUCGGGAACUCUGAGACAGGUGCUGCAUGGCUGUCGUCAGCUCGUGUUGUGAAAUGUUGGGUUAAGUCCCGCAACGAGCGCAACCCUUAUCCUUUGUUGCCAGCGGUCCGGCCGGGAACUCAAAGGAGACUGCCAGUGAUAAACUGGAGGAAGGUGGGGAUGACGUCAAGUCAUCAUGGCCCUUACGAGUAGGGCUACACACGUGCUACAAUGGCAUAUACAAAGAGAAGCGACCUCGCGAGAGCAAGCGGACCUCAUAAAGUAUGUCGUAGUCCGGAUUGGAGUCUGCAACUCGACUCCAUGAAGUCGGAAUCGCUAGUAAUCGUAGAUCAGAAUGCUACGGUGAAUACGUUCCCGGGCCUUGUACACACCGCCCGUCACACCAUGGGAGUGGGUUGCAAAAGAAGUAGGUAGCUUAACCUUCGGGAGGGCGCUUACCACUU